GCUAGAGUGGCCGAGUGGUCUAAGGCGUCAGACUUAAGAUCUGAUGGUUACAACCUCGUGGGUUCGAAAUUUCCCACCUCUAGCA
rnacentral:tRNA from 1 species